rnacentral:rRNA from 1 species
CAGCCGCCGCGGGAAUACGUAGGGUGCAAGCGUUAAUCGGAAUUACUGGGCGUAAAGCGUGCGCAGGCGGUUCGCUAAGACAGAUGUGAAAUCCCCGGGCUUAACCUGGGAACUGCAUUUGUGACUGGCGGGCUAGAGUAUGGCAGAGGGGGGUAGAAUUCCACGUGUAGCAGUGAAAUGCGUAGAGAUGUGGAGGAAUACCGAUGGCGAAGGAAGCCCCCUGGGCCAAUACUGACGCUCAUGCACGAAAGCGUGGGGAGCAAACAGGAUUAGAUACCCCCGUAGUCCCUGUCUCUUAUAC